rnacentral:rRNA from 1 species
UGGGGAAUAUUGCACAAUGGGCGAAAGCCUGAUGCAGCAACGCCGCGUGAGGGAAGACGGUUUUCGGAUUGUAAACCUCUGUUUUCGGUGACGAACAAAUGACGGUACCUGACUAAGAAGCCCCGGCUAACUACGUGCCAGCAGCCGCGGUAAUACGUAGGGGGCAAGCGUUAUCCGGAUUUACUGGGUGUAAAGGGAGCGCAGGCGGUCUGGCAAGUCUGAUGUGAAAUCCCGGGGCUCAACCCUGGAACUGCAUUGGAAACUGUCAGACUAGAGUGCCGGAGAGGUAAGUGGAAUUCCUAGUGUAGCGGUGAAAUGCGUAGAUAUUAGGAGGAACACCAGUGGCGAAGGCGGCUUACUGGACGGUAACUGACGCUGAGGCUCGAAAGCGUGGGGAGCAAACA